CGUUUCUCCGUCCGGCGACCGGCGCACGGGUGGAGUAACACGUAUGCAACCUGCCCCUGUCAGGGGGACAACCCGCCGAAAGGCGGGCUAAACCCGCGUACAUGCCACCGGGGCAUCCCGGAGGCAGGAAAGGCUUCGGCCGGACAGGGAUGGGCAUGCGGCGCAUUAGGCAGUAGGCGGGGUAACGGCCCACCUAACCGACGAUGCGUAGGGGUUCUGAGAGGAAGGUCCCCCACACUGGUACUGAGACACGGACCAGACUCCUACGGAAGGCAGCAG
rnacentral:rRNA from 1 species